GGUUCGAUCCUGGCUCAGAUUGAACGCUGGCGGGAUGCUUUACACAUGCAAGUCGAACGGCAGCACGGACUUCGGUCUGGUGGCGAGUGGCGAACGGGUGAGUAAUGUAAUGGAACGUGCCUAGUAGCGGGGGAUAACUACGCGAAAGCGUAGCCAAUACCGCAUACGCCCUUCGGGGGAAAGCGGGGGACCUUCGGGCCUCGCACUAUUAGAGCGGCCGAUAUCGGAUUAGCUAGUUGGUGCAACGGCUCACCAAGGGCGACGAUCCGUAGCUGGUUUGAGAGGACGACCAGCCACACUGACUGAGACACGGCCCAGACUCCUACGGGAGGCAGCAGUGGGGAAUUUUGGACAAUGGGGGGAAACCCUGAUCCAGCCAUCCCGCGUGUGCGAUGAAGGCCUUCGGGUUGUAAAGCACUUUUGGCAGGAAAGAACGGCACGGAUAAUACCCGUGCAACUGACGGUACCUAUGAAUAAGCACCGGCUAACUACGCCAGCAGCCGCGGUAAUACGUAGGGUGCAAGCGUUAAUCGGAAUUACUGGGCGUAAAGGCGCAGGUGUCUGGAAAGAAAGAUGUGAAAUCCCAGAGCUUAACUUUGAACUGCAUUUUUAACUACCGAGCUAGAGUGUGUCAGAGUGGGAGGUGGAAUUCCGCGUGUAGCAGUGAAAUGCGUAGAUAUGCGAGGAACACCGAUGGCGAAGGCAGCCUCCUGGGAUAACACUGACGCUCAUGCACGAAAGCGUGGGAGCAAACAGGAUUAGAUACCCUGGUAGUCCACGCCCUAAACGAUGUCAACUAGCUGUUGGGGCCUUCGGGCUCCUGGUAGCGCAGCUAACGCGUGAAGUUGACCGCCCUGGGAGUACGGUCGCAAGAUUAAAACUCAAAGGAAUUGACGGGGACUCCGCACAAGCGGUGGAUGAUGGGGAUUGAACUGAUGCAACGCGAAAAACCUCAUCACCCUUGACAUGUCUGAAUCCCGAAGAGAUUUGGGAGUGCCUGCAAGAGAACCGGAACACAGGUGCUGCAUGGCUGUCGUCAGCUCGUGUCGUGAGAUGUUGGGUUAAGUCCCGCAACGAGCGCAACCCUUGUCACGGUUGCUACGAAAGGGCACCAAUGAGACUGCCGGUGACAAACCGGAGGAAGGUGGGGAUGACGUCAAGUCCUCAUGGCCCUUAUGGGUAGGGCUUCAAGACGUCAUACAAUGGUCGGGACAGAGGGUCGCCAACCCGCGAGGGGGAGCCAAUCCCCAGAAACCCGAUCGUAGUCCGGAUCGCAGUCUGCAACUCGACUGCGUGAAGUCGAACUCGCUAGUAAUCGCGGAUCAGCAUGUCGCGGUGAAUACGUUCCCGGUCUUGUACACCGCCUGUCACACCAUGGGAGUGGGUUUUACCAGAAGUAGUUAGCCUAACCGUAAGGAGGGCGAUUACCACGGUGAUCUAUGACUGGGGUAGUCGUAACAAGGUAGU
rnacentral:rRNA from 1 species